rnacentral:rRNA from 1 species
UACGAAGGGGGCUAGCGUUGUUCGGAAUUACUGGGCGUAAAGGGCGCGUAGGCGGUGCCUCAAGUCAGGCGUGAAAGCCCCGGGCUCAACCUGGGAACCGCGCUUGAGACUGGAGUACUAGAGUUCGGGAGAGGAUGGUGGAAUUCCCAGUGUAGAGGUGAAAUUCGUAGAUAUUGGGAAGAACACCGAUGGCGAAGGCAGCCAUCUGGACCGACACUGACGCUGAGGCGCGAAAGCUAGGGGAGCGAACAGG